rnacentral:rRNA from 1 species
GACGAACGCUGGCGGCGUGCUUAACACAUGCAAGUCGAACGGAAAGGCCCCUUUGGGGGUACUCGAGUGGCGAACGGGUGAGUAACACGUGAGUAACCUGCCCUUGACUUCGGGAUAACUUCAGGAAACUGGGGCUAAUACCGGAUAGGAAUCCUUGCUGCAUGGUGGGGGUUGGAAAGCUUCGGCGGUUUUGGAUGGACUCGCGGCUUAUCAGCUUGUUGGUGGGGGAGUGGCUUACCAAGGCUUUGACGGGUAGCCGGCCUGAGAGGGCGACCGGCCAAAUUGGGACUGAGGUACGGCCCAGAAGCCUACGGGAGGCAGCAGGGGGGAAUAUUGCACAAUGGGCGGAAGCCCGAUGCAGCAACGCCGCGGGCGGGAUGACGGCCUUCGGGUUGUAAACCGCUUUCAGCAGGGGCGAAGCUUGUGGUGACGGUACCUGCAGAAGAAGCACCGGCUAACUACGUG